GGGGGUAUAGCUCAGUUGGUAGAGCGCUUGAUUUGCAUUCAAGAGGUCAACGGUUCGAACCCGUUUAUCUCCACCA
rnacentral:tRNA from 1 species